UGGGGAAUAUUGCACAAUGGGCGCAAGCCUGAUGCAGCCAUGCCGCGUGUGUGAAGAAGGCCUUCGGGUUGUAAAGCACUUUCAGCGGGGAGGAAGGCGAUAAGGUUAAUAACCUUGUCGAUUGACGUUGCCCGCAGAAGAAGCACCGGCUAACUCCGUGCCAGCAGCCGCGGUAAUACGGAGGGUGCAAGCGUUAAUCGGAAUUACUGGGCGUAAAGCGCACGCAGGCGGUCUGUCAAGUCGGAUGUGAAAUCCCCGGGCUUAACCUGGGAACUGCAUUCGAAACUGGCAGGCUAGAGUCUUGUAGAGGGGGGUAGAAUUCCAGGUGUAGCGGUGAAAUGCGUAGAGAUCUGGAGGAAUACCGGUGGCGAAGGCGGCCCCCUGGACAAAGACUGACGCUCAGGUGCGAAAGCGUGGGGAGCAAACAGG
rnacentral:rRNA from 1 species